UACGGGGGGGGCAAGCGUUGUUCGGAAUUACCGGGCGUAAAGGGCUCGUAGGUGGCCAACUAAGUCAGACGUGAAAUCCCUCGGCUUAACCGGGGAACUGCGUCUGAUACUGGAUGGCUUGAGAUUGGGAGAGGGACGCGGAAUUCCAGGUGUAGCGGUGAAAUGCGUAGAUAUCUGGAGGAACACCGGUGGCGAAGGCGGCGUCCUGGACCAACACUGACACUGAGGAGCGAAAGCCAGGGGAGCAAACGGG
rnacentral:rRNA from 1 species